UGAGUGGCGCGUGCUAUACAUGCAGUCGAGCGGAGAAAUGGGAGCUUGCUCCCAUUUCUCAGCGGCGGACGGGUGAGUAACACGUGGGCAACCUGCCCUACAGACUGGGAUAACUCCGGGAAACCGGAGCUAAUACCGGGUAAUACAUAGCAUCGCAUGAUGCAACGUUGAAAGUUGGCCUCUGGCUAACACUGUAGGAUGGGCCCGCGGCGCAUUAGCUAGUUGGUAAGGUAACGGCUUACCAAGGCCACGAUGCGUAGCCGACCUGAGAGGGUGAUCGGCCACACUGGGACUGAGACACGGCCCAGACUCCUACGGGAGGCAGCAGUAGGGAAUCUUCCGCAAUGGACGAAAGUCUGACGGAGCAACGCCGCGUGAGUGACGAAGGCCUUCGGGUCGUAAAGCUCUGUUGUUAGGGAAGAACAAGUACCGUUCGAACAGGGCGGUACCUUGACGGUACCUAACCAGAAAGCCACGGCUAACUACGUGCCAGCAGCCGCGGUAAUACGUAGGUGGCAAGCGUUGUCCGGAAUUAUUGGGCGUAAAGCGCGCGCAGGCGGUCUCUUAAGUCUGAUGUGAAAGCCCACGGCUCAACCGUGGAGGGCCAUUGGAAACUGGGGGACUUGAGUGCAGAAGAGGAGAGUGGAAUUCCACGUGUAGCGGUGAAAUGCGUAGAUAUGUGGAGGAACACCAGUGGCGAAGGCGGCUCUCUGGUCUGUAACUGACGCUGAGGCGCGAAAGCGUGGGGAGCAAACAGGAUUAGAUACCCUGGUAGUCCACGCCGUAAACGAUGAGUGCUAGUGUUUUGGGGGGUUCCACCCUCAGUGCUGAAGUUAACACAUUAAGCACUCCGCCUGGGGGAGUACGACCGCAAGGUUGAAACUCAAAGGAAUUGACGGGGGCCCGCACAAGCAGUGGAGCAUGUGGUUUAAUUCGAAGCAACGCGAAGAACCUUACCAGGUCUUGACAUCCUCUGCCACUCCUAGAAGAUAGGACGUUCCCCUUCGGGGGACAGAGUGACAGGUGGGUGCAUGGUUGUCGUCAGCUCGUGUCGUGAGAUGUUUGGGUUAAGUCCCGCAACGAGCGCAACCCUUGAUCUUAGUUGCCACCAUUUAGGUUGGGCACUCUUAAGGGGACUGCCGGUGACAAACCGGAAGAAAAGUGGGGAAAAAAAUUUAAUUUUUUUUGGCCCCUUAUAAACCGGGGGUACACCCGUGG
rnacentral:rRNA from 1 species